rnacentral:piRNA from 1 species
UAGCAUCAUGAAGAAGUUGGAUUGUG